UGGCUCAGUGGUUAAGAGCACUGGCUGUUCUCCCAGAGGACCUGGGUUCAAUUCCCAG
rnacentral:tRNA from 1 species